GAUGAACGCUGGCGGCGUGCCUAAUACAUGCAAGUCGAGCGAACGGACGAGAAGCUUGCUUCUCUGAUGUUAGCGGCGGACGGGUGAGUAACACGUGGAUAACCUACCUAUAAGACUGGGAUAACUUCGGGAAACCGGAGCUAAUACCGGAUAAUAUUUUGAACCGCAUGGUUCAAAAGUGAAGGACGGUCUUGCUGUCACUUAUAGAUGGAUCCGCGCUGCAUUAGCUGGUUGGUAAGGUAACGGCUUACCAAGGCAACGAUGCAUAGCCGACCUGAGAGGGUGAUCGGCCACACUGGAACUGAGACACGGUCCAGACUCCUACGGGAGGCAGCAGUAGGGAAUCUUCCGCAAUGGGCGAAAGCCUGACGGAGCAACGCCGCGUGAGUGAUGAAGGUCUUCGGAUCGUAAAACUCUGUUAUUAGGGAAGAACAUAUGUGUAAGUAACUGUGCACAUCUUGACGGUACCUAAUCAGAAAGCCACGGCUAACUACGUG
rnacentral:rRNA from 1 species